GACGAACGCUGGCGGCGUGCUUAACACAUGCAAGUCGAACGGAAAGGCCCUGCUUAUGUGGGGUGCUCGAGUGGCGAACGGGUGAGUAACACGUGAGUAACCUGCCCUUGACUUUGGGAUAACUUCAGGAAACUGGGGCUAAUACCGGAUAGGAGCUCCUGCUGCAUGGUGGGGGUUGGAAAGUUUCGGCGGUUGGGGAUGGACUCGCGGCUUAUCAGCUUGUUGGUGGGGUAGUGGCUUACCAAGGCUUUGACGGGUAGCCGGCCUGAGAGGGUGACCGGCCACAUUGGGACUGGGAUACGGCCCAGACUCCUACGGGAGGCAGCAGUGGGGUAUAUUGCACAAUGGGCGGAAGCCUGAUGCAGCAACGCCGCGUGCGGGAUAACGGCCUUCGGGUUGUAAACCGCUUUCGCCUGUGACGAAGCGUGAGUGACGGUAAUGGGUAAAGAAGCACCGGCUAACUACGUG
rnacentral:rRNA from 1 species